rnacentral:rRNA from 1 species
AGUGAACGCUGGCGGUAGGCCUAACACAUGCAAGUCGAACGGCAGCACAGGAGAGCUUGCUCUCUGGGUGGCGAGUGGCGGACGGGUGAGGAAUACAUCGGAAUCUACUUUUUCGUGGGGGAUAACGUAGGGAAACUUACGCUAAUACCGCAUACGACCUACGGGUGAAAGCAGGGGACCUUCGGGCCUUGCGCGAUUGAAUGAGCCGAUGUCGGAUUAGCUAGUUGGCGGGGUAAAGGCCCACCAAGGCGACGAUCCGUAGCUGGUCUGGGAGGAUGAUUAGCCACACGGGAACUGAGACACGGUCCAGACUCCUACGGGAGUCAGCAGUGGGGAAUAUUGGACAAUGGGCGCAAGCCUGAUCCAGCCAUACCGCGUGGGUGAAGAAGGCCUUCGGGUUGUAAAGCCCUUUUGUUGGGAAAGAAAUCCAUCUGGUUAAUACCCGGGUGGGAUGACGGUACCCAAAGAAUAAGCACCGGCUAACUUCGUGCCAGCAGCCGCCGUAA